GGGGGCGAUUUGGCUUCGACGGGUUUGAAGCAGGUCCCUGGAAGCAGGCCGUACGGUCCGCCGGUACGUUACCACAGGUGGAAACAACACAACUGCCGAUUACGAUCUGGCUUUGGCAGCCUGACAUCAGGUUGCCGGUCUCCCAAUCAUGGGUCGCUUGGUGAAUGGAUGAGGCCUCAAACACAAGUGAAUAGUCGGAUGAUAUGCUCGUGGUCCUCCGAUGAAACAAUAAUGAGCCCGCUUGAUGGCUGCCUGUCCGGUGGUUGUCAUCAAGCCAGAACCAAACCGGAAUAAGCCUGUAGAAACCUUGGAUGAGCCAGAUUCGGACGGGGGUUCGAGUCCCCCCGCCUCCACCA
rnacentral:tmRNA from 4 species